AUUGAACGCUGGCGGCAUGCUUUACACAUGCAAGUCGAACGGCAGCGCGGGCUUCGGCCUGGCGGCGAGUGGCGAACGGGUGAGUAAUACAUCGGAACGUGCCCAGUAGUGGGGGAUAGCUCGGCGAAAGCCGGAUUAAUACCGCAUACGACCUGAGGGUGAAAGCGGGGGAUCUUCGGACCUCGCGCUAUUGGAGCGGCCGAUGGCAGAUUAGCUAGUUGGUGGGGUAAAGGCCUACCAAGGCGACGAUCUGUAGCUGGUCUGAGAGGACGACCAGCCACACUGGGACUGAGACACGGCCCAGACUCCUACGGGAGGCAGCAGUGGGGAAUUUUGGACAAUGGGCGAAAGCCCGAUCCAGCAAUGCCGCGUGUGUGAUGAAGGCCUUCGGGUUGUAAAGCACUUUUGGCGGGAAUGAAAAGGACUGUGCCAAUACCACGGUUCGAUGACGGUACCCGCAGAAUAAGCACCGGCUAACUACGUG
rnacentral:rRNA from 1 species